CAAUAGCGUAUAUUAAAGUUGUUGCAGUUAAAAAGCUCGUAGUUGAAUUUUUGCUUGCCGCCGAUGUCGGAACUUCCGUACGUUCGGCGGCGUGCAUCCUUGGGUGGAACCUGUGUGGCAUUAGGUUGUCGUGCAGGGGAUGCUCAUCGUUUACUGUGAAAAAAUUAGAGUGUUCAAAGCAGGCUUACGCCGUUGAAUAUAUUAGCAUGGAAUAAUAAGAUAGGACCUUGGUACUAUUUUGUUGGUUUGCGCACCGAGGUAAUGAUUAACAGGGACAGUUGGGGGUAUUCGUAUCCCAUUGUCAGAGGUGAAAUUCUUGGAUUUCUGGAAGACGAACUACUGCGAAAGCAUUUACCAAGGAUGUUUUCAUUA
rnacentral:rRNA from 1 species